AAAGCCUUGGCUUAAUUAAAGUAUCUGGGUUGCAUUCAGAAGAUGUGGGAUAAAAUCCUGCAGGUUUUA
rnacentral:tRNA from 1 species